rnacentral:rRNA from 1 species
UACAGAGGUCCCAAGCGUUGUUCGGAUUUACUGGGCGUAAAGGGAGCGUAGGUGGCAUUCUAAGUCUGGUGUGAAAGCUCUGAGCUUAACUCAGAAAUGGCAUUAGAUACUGGUUUGCUUGAGGAUUGGAGGGGAGAUUGGAAUACUUGGUGUAGCAGUGAAAUGCGUAGAUAUCAAGUGGAACACCAGUGGCGAAGGCGAAUCUCUGGACAAUUCCUGACACUGAUGCUCGAAAGCUAGGGGAGCAAACGGG